rnacentral:rRNA from 1 species
UACGGAGGGUGCAAGCGCUAAUCGGAAUUACUGGGCGUAAAGCGUGCGCAGGCGGUUUGUUAAGUCUGCUGUGAAAUCCCCGAGCUCAACUUGGGAAUUGCAGUGGAUACUGGCAGGCUGGAGUAUGGUAGAGGAAGGUGGAAUUCCCGGUGUAGCAGUGAAAUGCGUAGAGAUCGGGAGGAACACCAGUGGCGAAGGCGGCCUUCUGGACCAAUACUGACGCUCAUGCACGAAAGCGUGGGGAGCAAACAGG